AGAGUUUGAUCCUGGCUCAGGACGAACGCUGGCGGCGUGCCUAAUACAUGCAAGUAGAACGCUGAAGGAGGAGCUUGCUUCUCCGGAUGAGUUGCGAACGGGUGAGUAACGCGUAGGUAACCUGCCUGGUAGCGGGGGAUAACUAUUGGAAACGAUAGCUAAUACCGCAUAAGAGUAGAUGUUGCAUGACAUUUGCUUAAAAGGUGCAAUUGCAUCACUACCAGAUGGACCUGCGUUGUAUUAGCUAGUUGGUGGGGUAACGGCUCACCAAGGCGACGAUACAUAGCCGACCUGAGAGGGUGAUCGGCCACACUGGGACUGAGACACGGCCCAGACUCCUACGGGAGGCAGCAGUAGGGAAUCUUCGGCAAUGGACGGAAGUCUGACCGAGCAACGCCGCGUGAGUGAAGAAGGUUUUCGGAUCGUAAAGCUCUGUUGUAAGAGAAGAACGAGUGUGAGAGUGGAAAGUUCACACUGUGACGGUAUCUUACCAGAAAGGGACGGCUAACUACGUGCCAGCAGCCGCGGUAAUACGUAGGUCCCGAGCGUUGUCCGGAUUUAUUGGGCGUAAAGCGAGCGCAGGCGGUUAGAUAAGUCUGAAGUUAAAGGCUGUGGCUUAACCAUAGUACGCUUUGGAAACUGUUUAACUUGAGUGCAAGAGGGGAGAGUGGAAUUCCAUGUGUAGCGGUGAAAUGCGUAGAUAUAUGGAGGAACACCGGUGGCGAAAGCGGCUCUCUGGCUUGUAACUGACGCUGAGGCUCGAAAGCGUGGGG
rnacentral:rRNA from 1 species